rnacentral:rRNA from 1 species
GACGAACGCUGGCGGCGUGCUUAACACAUGCAAGUCGAGCGGUAAGGCCCUUUCGGGGGUACACGAGCGGCGAACGGGUGAGUAACACGUGGGUGACCUGCCCUCAGCUCUGGGAUAAGCCUGGGAAACUGGGUCUAAUACUGGAUAUGACUCCACGGUGCAUGUCGUGGGGUGGAAAGCCUUGUGCGGCUGAGGAUGGGCCCGCGGCCUAUCAGCUUGUUGGUGGGGUGANGGCCUACCAAGGCGACGACGGGUAGCCGGCCUGAGAGGGCGACCGGCCACACUGGGACUGAGACACGGCCCAGACUCCUACGGGGAGGCAGCAGUGGGGAAUCUUGCGCAAUGGGCGAAAGCCUGACGCAGCGACGCCGCGUGAGGGAUGACGGCCU